CAGCCGCCGCGGUAACACGUAGGGUGCAAGCGUUAAUCGGAAUUACUGGGCGUAAAGCGUGCGCAGGCGGUUAUAUAAGACAGAUGUGAAAUCCCCGGGCUCAACCUGGGAACUGCAUUUGUGACUGUAUAGCUAGAGUACGGCAGAGGGGGAUGGAAUUCCGCGUGUAGCAGUGAAAUGCGUAGAUAUGCGGAGGAACACCGAUGGCGAAGGCAAUCCCCUGGGCCUGUACUGACGCUCAUGCACGAAAGCGUGGGGAGCAAACAGGAUUAGAUACCCCCGUAGUCCCUGUCUCUUAUAC
rnacentral:rRNA from 1 species